UCUAUAGUCAAGGGGGCAAACCAGGAAGAGGCAGGGGUGAAACCAUAGACACUCACAUCCCUGUUUCAUCUUCCUCUUUAAAACCAGAUUAACCUGUGGGGCAUCCUAUCUCAUCACUCUCCCUUCAACAAGAGGAGAAGCUUAGGAAAUUCAGGCGUUAGUGGGUAGGAGGAACUAGGAGUUGAGGAGGAUGGGAGAGGAAAGGAGGAGGUGCCUGCCCUAAACGAGGCUGGCCAGAGAAUGAAGGGUUCAGGCCAGCUGAUGACCAGUAGGGGUAGCAAUGGGGAAAGAGGUUUGCAGUGCAGCCUGUGAUGACUCUGAAAUUGUAGAAUUUUAAAAACCAGCGCAUAAACAGGUGAGAGAGUCCGUGACUCUGCCCCACUAGCCUUCAUCAAGCUCAGGAGGGAGGUAUUCCUGGCCAGUACCUGUCCAAAGUGGGCGGGGUAGCCCAACAUGUGGACGUAGAGCAGUUUGGCCAGCUGCCGGUGCCUGUGCACUGGGUCCCCAUCGCGGAAGGAGGCCCGGAUGUGGGCGCACUCCUUUUGGAUCACCUCCCGCUCCUGGGCCUGAGUCUUGGCCCCGCGAAUCUCUUCGAUGAGGUCCUGAAGCUUCAGCGAAGGCGCCACCAUUCUGACUGGCAGAGUCCGGGAGUGAAGAAACACUCUCUGGCCGGGCGUGCCUGGGUUUUCGGCCCAGGCGCGUCCUGUGUCAGGACCCUAAGAGCCCAGGUCCCACAGCGCUUCCUGGUACGGGGCCGAGCAGGGGUUGGUGAUCCGUGCGGUCCUUCCCUCUCCCCGCCUCCACCACGGGACCCCGCCCUCCUGGGCCGACUGCAGAGCCUUCCUGAAUCCUCUGACCUCGAGCCUCAGGCUUUAGCGGACAGACAGCAUGAUAGGCCUGGAGUUCUUCAAGAGGCCUCCUCGCACAUCCUCACCACCCGGAGAGCCUCAGUUUGGAUUUGAAGCCAUCGCACCCCAAAGGAGAUGACAAUCCCCCCCCUUUUUUGAACUUUUUUAUUAAUAUAUUUUUUUU